UACAGAGGGCCCAAGCGUUAUCCGGAAUGAUUGGGCGUAAAGCGUCUGUAGGUGGCUUUUCAAGUCCGCCGUCAAAUCCCAGGGCUCAACCCUGGACAGGCGGUGGAAACUACCAAGCUGGAGUACGGUAGGGGCAGAGGGAAUUUCCGGUGGAGCGGUGAAAUGCGCAGAUAUCGGGAGGAACACCGGUGGCGAAGGCGGUUCUCUGGGCCUGACCUGACGCUGAGGAGCGAAAGCGUGGGGAGCGAACAGG
rnacentral:rRNA from 1 species